rnacentral:lncRNA from 1 species
GGCGCCCCUCCCCCAGCCUUGCUGCUGCCUUGCAGUUUGAUCUCAGACUGCUGUGCUAGCAAUCAGCGAGACUCCGUGGGCGUAGGACCUCCGAGCCAGGUGCGGGAUGUAAUCUCGUGGUGCACCGUUUUUCUUAAGCCGGUCCGAAAAGCGCAAUAUUCGGUUGGGAGUGACCCGAUUUUCCAGAGAUAUGGAUAUGAGAGGCAUUCCUCCACAGAAGAGGCUUAACCACUUUGGCCCUUGAGAUCUUUACUUGAUCAAAACUUCUACAAGCGUGCUGGCAUGCUGGAGUCAGCUAGAAUUGGAUUGCCAGAGCCUGUUGUGUGCACCUGUCCCCAACUCUGUCCAGUGACCUCAGCCUCCUUUCACAGAGACUGAAUUUCAAUCAGCUGCUCUCAGUUGACAAUGAUAAAAUUAUCUCUAUAUGGGCAAAUGCGUGCUCUUUGUCGAAAAAGAAAGCUUCAGCUUCAUGUUCCAGGUGAGUUAAUUAGGCAAUGUAUGAAUGCUAAUAUCUCUUUCACAUAUUUUGCUUAAGAUCUGUCUUAGGACUCUCGUCUGGCCCAUAUGGUUUUCCAAGGGCAGAAGGGCCUCUUUUUGAUGAGAGGCAGUUUUCAGUAACUCUUAAAGUGAUAACAGCAAAGGAGAGGAGAGAGAAGAGUAAGACAAAUCGAAACAUUCUUCAAUUGCUUCUUGGCCUUUUGGCUAAGCUCAAGCUCAAAACAGGUCUUCAAGGAGAAAAUACAUCACAAAGAAAAGGAUGUUUUAUUUCUUACCUUGUCCUAGAAAAAUUUCCAUAAACUCUAUUGGCUUAAUUCUGUAAACUUGACCAAUAUCAGAGUGCUUCCUACCAAGGAGGGUAGCUGAUGAGCGUGACCAUGGUACAUCCUAGAAGAAUGUGUGAUGAAGAAGCUUUCACCGUGUAAAAGAGUUGAAAAUUAUUCAAGGAGACAUUAUGGUCUUGGCCAUAAUUUAAGAACCAGUUUAAAAUAAUUUUUAUAUAGAACUUAGAGUCUAAUUUCUCAGCACAAUUCUUCUUCCCUCCUGAGUGUGGGCUGCUGGAGUGUCAGUUCCAAAUUCUUAUGCAUGAGUAAUCUUAGCAUAUUCAGUAAUAUAUUCCUCUUAUGAGAAAGUAAUCAAGUACAAUAUAACUGAUGACUUUCUUGAUUCAGUAAUCAGUAAUUUGUGAUCAAUUUUACCUGAUGGUGACAGCUUGGUGUAUAAGUUAGUGCUAAUGUAUAUUACUGCAUUUCAUUUCUGUGGAGCCUGUCAGCUGAGCAAAGGAGGGAAACUCAGGAUGGAGAACUCCUCCCCCUCCAUCCAUAAGUGGCACACCACUGGCCUCCUGGUGUUAUUAAAGGAAAAUUGGAAAAGUUUCCAGAAGAUUAAGCAGAAAGCUUACAACUUGCACAAGACUCUCAAUUUUCCAGUGGCUCUGACAGAAGGAUAAAUCUUCGGCUGUUUUAACUAAAAUGGACGGUCAAGUUGGUAUCCAUCGUGAAGCUAAAUGAAUAUCUGGACAGGAGUCAGACAAAGGGAAGGAGAAUCCAGGGGAAGAUGAAGCAGCUGCAGGCCUGUCUGCUACCCUAUAUCCGGGGAAGAGCCAGAAAGUAAGUGACAACAUGGAUAAGGUACAAAGUAGCUACUCCUUUACUUUCACACUGAAAUAUUGCCCCCUCCACUUAAAAAAAAAAGUAGAAGAAGAAAAAGAAAGAACGUUUCUUUUGGCUCACUCUAACCAGAGACAUACGAGAAAACUAUUUAUGGCAAAUGAAGUUCAGCCUAUCCAAGUUGGCACAUUACAAAGCUGCCACAGAGAGCAUAGAAAAUGGUGAAUAUUUAUAAAUGUACCCUUAUAUGGGUACAAAUGCAAUGGCAGGGCAGGAAA